rnacentral:rRNA from 1 species
UUGGGGCACGCUAUCAGCAUUACUGGGCGUCAAGCGUGCGCAGGCGGUUGUGCAAGACCGAUGUGAAAUCCCCGGGCUUAACCUGGGAAUUGCAUUGGUGACUGCACGGCUAGAGUGUGUCAGAGGGGGGUAGAAUUCCACGUGUAGCACUGAAAUGCGUAGAGAUGUGGAGGAAUACCGAUGGCGAAGGCAGCCCCCUGGGAUAACACUGACGCUCAUGCACGAAAGCGUGGGGAGCAAACAGGAUUAGAUACCCUUGGUAGUCCACGCCCUAAACGAUGUCAACUAGUUGUUGGGGAUUCAUUUCCUUAGUAACGUAGCUUACGCGUGAAGUUGACCGCCUGGGGAGUACGGUCGCAAGAUUAAAACUCAGAGGAAUUGACGGGGACCCGCACAAGCGGUGGAUGAUGUGGAUUAAUUCGAUGCAACGCGAAAAACCUUACCUACCCUUGACAUGCCACUAACGAAGCAUAGAUGCAUUAUGUGCUCGAAAGAGAAAGUGGACACAGGUGCUGCGUGGCUGUCGUCAGCUCGUGUCGUGAGAUGUUGGGUUAAGUCCCGCAACGAGCGCAACCCUUGUCUCUAGUUGCUACGAAAGGGCACUCUAGAGAGACUGCCGGUGACAAACCGGAGGACGGUGGGGAUGACGUCAAGUCCUCAUGGCCCUUAUGGGUAGGGCUUCACACGUCAUACAAUGGUGCAUACGGAGGGUUGCCAAGGCGCGAGGUGGAGCUAAUCCCAGAAAAUGCAUCGUACUCCAGAUCGUAGUCUGCAACUCGACGACGUGAAGCUGGAAUCGCUAGUACUCGCGGAUCAGCAUGCCGCGGGGAACACGUGCACGGGUCUUGUACACUGAGACCGUCACGCCAUGCGAGUGCGUUUUGCCUUAAGUAGUUAGCC